GUAGGUGGCAAGCGUUGUCCGGAAUUAUUGGGCGUAAAGCGCGCGCAGGCGGUUCUUUAAGUCUGAUGUGAAAGCCCACGGCUCAACCGUGGAGGGUCAUUGGAAACUGGAGAACUUGAGUACAGAAGAGGAAAGCGGAAUUCCACGUGUAGCGGUGAAAUGCGUAGAGAUGUGGAGGAACACCAGUGGCGAAGGCGGCUUUCUGGUCUGUAACUGACGCUGAGGCGCGAAAGCGUGGGGGAGCAAACAGGAUUAGAUACCCUGGUAGUCCACGCCGUAAACGAUGAGUGCUAAGUGUUAGGGGGUUUCCGCCCCUGAGUGCUGCAGCUAACGCAUUAAGCACUCCGCCUGGGAGUACGGCCGCAAGGCUG
rnacentral:rRNA from 1 species